GCAUGGUUCUCACGCCUGUGCAGAGUGGAGAGGCCAGAUGAGUCGACACCCCUCCGUCUGUGCAAAUUCUGUCAGUGACUCUGUGACAGGUCAAUCAACACCUGAGUGACAAAGAGAAGAAUGUGGAUGCACAGGAAUCAACUCCAAAGCAAUUGGACACUAAGGGGGCGCAGUGGGUUGGACCA